rnacentral:rRNA from 1 species
GACGGGGGGGCAAGUGUUCUUCGGAAUGACUGGGCGUAAAGGGCACGUAGGCGGUGAAUCGGGUUGAAAGUGAAAGUCGCCAAAAAAGUGGCGGAAUGCUCUCGAAACCAAUUCACUUGAGUGAGACAGAGGAGAGUGGAAUUUCGUGUGUAGGGGUGAAAUCCGUAAAUAUACGAAGGAACGCCAAAAGCGAAGGCAGCUCUCUGGGUCCCUACCCGACGCUGGGGUGCGAAAGCAUGGGGAGCGAACAGG